rnacentral:rRNA from 1 species
UACGUAGGUGACCAGCGUUGUCCGGAUUUACUGGGCGUAAAGUGUGCGCAGGCGGCCGAGCAAGUCGAGUGUGAAAGCCCCGAGCUUAACUUGGGAACUGCGCUCGAAACUACUUGGCUAGAGUGUGGCAGAGGGAGGUGGAAUUCCACGUGUAGCGGUGAAAUGCGUAGAGAUGUGGAGGAACACCGAUGGCGAAGGCAGCCUCCUGGGCCAACACUGACGCUCAUGCACGAAAGCGUGGGGAGCAAACAGG